rnacentral:rRNA from 1 species
UGGGGAAUAUUGGACAAUGGGCGAAAGCCUGAUCCAGCCAUGCCGCGUGUGUGAAGAAGGUCUUCGGAUUGUAAAUCACUUUAAGUUGGGAGGAAGGGCAGUAAGCGAAUACCUUGCUGUUUUGACGUUACCGACAGUAUAAGCACCGGCUAACUCUGUUCCAGCAGCCGCGGUAAUACAGAGGGUGCAAGCGUUAAUCGGAAUUACUGGGCGUAAAGCGAGCGUAGGUGGUUCGUUAAGUUGAAUGUGAAAGCCCCGGGCUCAACCUGGGAACUGCAUCGUAAACUGGCGAGCUAGAGUAGGGCAGAGGGUGGUGGAAUUUCCUGUGUAGCGGUGAAAUGCGUAGAUAUAGGAAGGAAAACCAGUGGCGAAGGCGACCACCUGGGCUCAUACUGACACUGAGGUGCGAAAGCGUGGGGAGCAAACAGG